rnacentral:rRNA from 1 species
UACGUAGGCAGCGAGCGUUGUUCGGAAUUACUGGGCGUAAAGAGUGUGUAGGCGGUGCUCCCAGUCUGUUGUGAAAUCUCCCGGCUUAACUGGGAGGGUGCAGCGGAAACUAGAGUGCUAGAGGGUGGGAGAGGUAAGCGGAAUUCCUGGUGUAGCGGUGAAAUGCGUAGAUAUCGUGAGGAACACCAGAGGCGAAGGCGGCUACCUGGACAAUUGCUGACGCUCAGGCACGAAAGCGUGGGGAGCAAAAGGG